rnacentral:rRNA from 1 species
UACGAAGGGUGCAAGCGUUAAUCGGAAUUACUGGGCGUAAAGGGUGCGUAGGCGGUUGUUUAAGUCUGUCGUGAAAUCCCCGGGCUCAACCUGGGAAUGGCGAUGGAUACUGGACAGCUAGAGUGUGUCAGAGGAUGGUGGAAUUCCCGGUGUAGCGGUGAAAUGCGUAGAGAUCGGGAGGAGCAUCAGUGGCGAAGGCGGCCAUCUGGGACAACACUGACGCUGAAGCACGAAAGCGUGGGGAGCAAACAGG